GUGGGGAAUAUUGCGCAAUGGGGGAAACCCUGACGCAGCGACGCCGUGUGAGGGAAGAAGGCUUUCGGGUCGUAAACCUCUGUCAGAAAGGAAGAACCUCCCAAGUCCGAAUAGGGCUUGGGACUGACGGUACUUUCAAAGGAAGCACCGGCUAACUCCGUGCCAGCAGCCGCGGUAAUACGGAGGGUGCAAGCGUUAAUCGGAAUCACUGGGCGUAAAGCGCGCGUAGGCCGCUUUGUAAGUCGGACGUGAAAGCCCUCGGCGCAACCGGGGAACUGCUUUCGAUACUGCGAGGCUUGAGUCCUGGAGAGGGUGGCGGAAUUCCGGGUGUAGGAGUGAAAUCCGUAGAUAUCCGGAGGAACACCGGUGGCGAAGGCGGCCACCUGGACAGGUACUGACGCUGAGGCGCGAAAGCGUGGGGAGCAAACAGGAUUAGAAACCCGAGUAGUCC
rnacentral:rRNA from 1 species